CUCCUGACUGACCGAUAGUGAACCAGUACCGUGAGGGAAAGGCGAAAAGAACCCCGGCGAGGGGAGUGAAAAAGAACCUGAAACCGUGUACGUACAAGCAGUGGGAGCCUCUUUAUGGGGUGACUGCGUACCUUUUGUAUAAUGGGUCAGCGACUUAUAUUCUGUAGCAAGGUUAACCGAAUAGGGGAGCCGAAGGGAAACCGAGUCUUAACUGGGCGUUAAGUUGCAGGGUAUAGACCCGAAACCCGGUGAUCUAGCCAUGGGCAGGUUGAAGGUUGGGUAACACUAACUGGAGGACCGAACCGACUAAUGUUGAAAAAUUAGCGGAUGACUUGUGGCUGGGGGUGAAAGGCCAAUCAAACCGGGAGAUAGCUGGUUCUCCCCGAAAGCUAUUUAGGUAGCGCCUCGUGAAUUCAUCUCCGGGGGUAGAGCACUGUUUCGGCAAGGGGGUCAUCCCGACUUACCAACCCGAUGCAAACUGCGAAUACCGGAGAAUGUUAUCACGGGAGACACACGGCGGGUGCUAACGUCCGUCGUGAAGAGGGAAACAACCCAGACCGCCAGCUAAGGUCCCAAAGUCAUGGUUAAGUGGGAAACGAUGUGGGAAGGCCCAGACAGCCAGGAUGUUGGCUUAGAAGCAGCCAUCAUUUAAAGAAAGCGUAAUAGCUCACUGGUCGAGUCGGCCUGCGCGGAAGAUGUAACGGGGCUAAACCAUGCACCGAAGCUGCGGCAGCGACACUAUGUGUUGUUGGGUA
rnacentral:rRNA from 1 species